rnacentral:rRNA from 1 species
GACGAACGCUGGCGGCGCGCUUAACACAUGCAAGUCGAACGGAAAGGCCUGCUUUCCCUUGUGGAUUGCGGGUACUCGAGUGGCGAACGGGUGAGUAACACGUGAGUGAUCUGCCCCCAACUUGGGUAUAAGCCUGGGAAACUGGGUCUAAUUCCCGAUAGGACUGCAGGGUGGUGCCUGUGGUGGAAAACGAUUUUCUAGUGGUUGGGGAUGAGCUCGCGGCCUAUCAGCUUGUUGGUGGGGUAAUGGCCUACCAAGGCGGCGACGGGUAGCCGGCCUGAGAGGGUGGACGGCCAGAUUGGGACUGAGAUACGGCCCAGGCGCCUACGGGAGGCAGCAGUGGGGAAUAUUGCACAAUGGGCGGAAGCCUGAUGCAGCGACGCCGCGUGGGGGAUGACGGCCUUCGGGUUGUAAACUCCUUUCGACCGCGAGGAAGCCACCUGGUUGGAAGGGUGGUGACGGUAGUGGUAGAAGAAGCACCGGCUAACUACGUG